ACGGCCAUAGGGUGUGGAAAACAGGGCUUCCCGUCCGCUCAGCCGUACUUAAACCACACGCCGGCCAGUUAGUAGUUGGGUGGUCACCACCAGUGAAUCCUGGCUGUUGUAUGUC
rnacentral:rRNA from 1 species